CAGCAGCCACGGGAAUACGUAGGUGGCAAGCGUUGUCCGGAAUUAUUGGGCGUAAAGGGCUCGCAGGCGGUUUCUUAAGUCUGAUGUGAAAGCCCCCGGCUCAACCGGGGAGGGUCAUUGGAAACUGGGAAACUUGAGUGCAGAAGGGGAGAGUGGAAUUCCACGUGUAGCGGUGAAAUGCGUAGAGAUGUGGAGGAACACCAGUGGCGAAGGCGACUCUCUGGUCUGUAACUGACGCUGAGGAGCGAAAGCGUGGGGAGCGAACAGGAUUAGAUACCCGCGUAGUCCCUGUCUCUUAUAC
rnacentral:rRNA from 1 species